UACGGAGGGCGCGAGCGUUGUCCGGAAUCACUGGGCGUAAAGGGCGCGUAGGCGGCUCGAUAAGGCUUGCGUGAAAGUCCGGGGCUCAACCCCGGAUCGGCGCGGGCGACUGUUGGGCUGGAGCACGGUAGGGGCAGACGGAAUUCCGGGUGUAGCGGUGAAAUGCGCAGAUAUCAGGAGGAACACCGGUGGCGAAGGCGGGUCUCUGGGCCGAUACUGACGCUGAGGAGCGAAAGCGUGGGGAGCGAACAGG
rnacentral:rRNA from 1 species